UAACAGAAGAAAGUCGAACGGGGAGUUAUUUAUAACUCCUAGUGGCGAAUUGCCUGAGUAACGCGUAGACACCCUGCCUCUAAACUGGGGACAACACCGCGAAAGUGGUGCUAAUACCGAAUGUGGUAUCUUAGUCGCAUGACUGAGAUAAGAAAGGUGGCCUCUAUUUAUAAGCUACCGAUUAGAGAUGGGUCUGCGUCUGAUUAGCUAGUUGGUGAGGUAACGGCUCACCAAGGCGACGAUCAGUAGCCGGUCUGAGAGGACGAUCAGCCACACUGGGACUGAGACACGGCCCAGACUCCUACGGGAGGCAGCAGUGGG
rnacentral:sRNA from 1 species